AAAGCCUGACAGGUUUCUCCGGAAAAGUGGCCAUCCAUGGAAUGAAUGAAAUGUUCCCUUUCUAUUCCAGGGAAGGAAUGGUGUGUACUGAAGCAACAGACCUCUGUUGACCAAUGGCUUUAUGGACCUCAAGUUUGUUCCUUCGGGCCAAGACCACACAGGCCCUUGUUUCUCUUCCAAUUCCAUGUGUGGUGCAGUCUCUGUAUUUUCAGAAACACCUAUGUGGAACACAGACUUCUUGAGCCCCUUUACUCCUUACAGCUCUCACCCAUCAGUUCUUUAUGCCCCUGCCUCAGUGAAGCUGGUUUUCUUUCCCUCAGUGAAUUUUUAUAUAUUGUCCCUGCCUUUCUUUCCUUUUCACCCUUUCUUUUCUUCCUUCCUCCCUCUUUCUUCCUUCCUUUCUUCCUUCCUUUUCUUCUCUUUAUUCUUUUAAAUAAAGUGCUUAAUAACUAUGCCUUCUAA
rnacentral:lncRNA from 1 species